AUAUUAAACAAAAAUUUAGUAGAAAUUAUAUAAGAAAAUAAAACAAAAAAAAAAAAAAUUUGGACACAGAACAGAACUCAAAUAUUGGGAACUAUUUUCAAAAUUAUUGGUUUGGACUUAAAGCAGGCAACACAUUCAACACCGGAAUAUUGAUGAACAACAAGCAACAACAGCAGCAACAAAAGCAGCAAAAUAUAAUACAAAUCUGGUUAUAUUGCAUUAAUGAGUAUAUGUGUGUUAGUUUGCAUAAAAAUUUCGUUUCGAUCUAAAUAAAAAUAAACAAAAAAAAAAAAAAAAAAACAAACAGUAAAUUAAACAAAAAAAAAAACUUUUUUAUAAAGCAAAAGGAAAAAGUCAUCAAAAACAUAAUAAUAAUAAUCCAUUGUGUGAAUCAUCAAAGCAAAGUAGGAGCAAAAAAAGUCUUUUUGAACACAAAAACAAAAAGAGAAGAAAAGCUUUCUUCAAUCAAACAUCAGAGAAAGCAAUUGUCGCGCUACUAUCAACAUAAGUGAGAAAAUAGGCGACGGAUAUAUCAAAAUUAAGAAUAAAAAAAUAUU